AAGCUGUUAAGAGGUUUGUGCCCCUUGUGAUAGGGUCUAUCACUACCAUCUCUGAUCCGUUCGACGAAAACGGUACAUCUGAGCUU